rnacentral:rRNA from 1 species
UGCGUAGGUGGCCCGAUCAGUCAGAUGUGAAAGCCCCGGGCUUAACCUGGGAACUGCAUUUGAUACUGUCGGGCUAGAGUAUGGUAGAGGGAAGUGGAAUUCCGGGUGUAGCGGUGAAAUGCGUAGAUAUCCGGAGGAACACCAGUGGCGAAGGCGACUUCCUGGACCAAUACUGACACUGAGGCACGAAAGCGUGGGUAGCAAACA